rnacentral:rRNA from 1 species
CAUGCCAAGUCGAGCGGAUGAAGGGAGCUUGCUCCUGGAUUCAGCGGCGGACGGGUGAGUAAUGCCUAGGAAUCUGCCUGGUAGUGGGGGAUAACGUCCGGAAACGGGCGCUAAUACCGCAUACGUCCUGAGGGAGAAAGUGGGGGAUCUUCGGACCUCACGCUAUCAGAUGAGCCUAGGUCGGAUUAGCUAGUUGGUGGGGUAAAGGCCUACCAAGGCGACGAUCCGUAACUGGUCUGAGAGGAUGAUCAGUCACACUGGAACUGAGACACGGUCCAGACUCCUACGGGAGGCAGCAGUGGGGAAUAUUGGACAAUGGGCGAAAGCCUGAUCCAGCCAUGCCGCGUGUGUGAAGAAGGUCUUCGGAUUGUAAAGCACUUUAAGUUGGGAGGAAGGGCAGUAAGUUAAUACCUUGCUGUUUUGACGUUACCAACAGAAUAAGCACCGGCUAACUUCGUGCCAGCAGCCCGCGGUAAUACGAAGGGUGCAAGCGUUAAUCGGAAUUACUGGGCGUAAAGCGCGCGUAGGUGGUUCAGCAAGUUGGAUGUGAAAUCCCCGGGCUCAACCUGGGAACUGCAUCCAAAACUACUGAGCUAGAGUACGGUAGAGGGUGGUGGAAUUUCCUGUGUAGCGGUGAAAUGCGUAGAUAUAGGAAGGAACACCAGUGGCGAAGGCGACCACCUGGACUGAUACUGACACUGAGGUGCGAAAGCGUGGGGAGCAAACAGGAUUAGAUACCCUGGUAGUCCACGCCGUAAACGAUGUCGACUAGCCGUUGGGAUCCUUGAGAUCUUAGUGGCGCAGCUAACGCGAUAAGUCGACCGCCUGGGGAGUACCGGCCGCAAGGUUAAAACUCAAAUGAAUUGACGGGGGCCCGCACAAGCGGUGGAGCCUGUGGUUUAAUUCGAAGCAACGCGAAGAACCCUUA